rnacentral:ncRNA from 1 species
CCAGCAGCCGCGGUAACAGGUUGGCUGAUAAGUCCCCGGUCUAACAAAGAAAAUCAUUUUUUUUUUCAAAAUUCGUUUUUAUUAUUCAACAUAGUUCCCUUCAAGAGCGAUACAACGAUUAUAACGACGUUCCAAUUUUUUGAUACCAUUUUGGUAGUACUCCUUCGGUUUUGCCAAAAAAUAGGCCUCAGUUUCGGCGACCACCUCUUCAUUGCAGCCAAAUUUUUUCCCUGCGAGCAUCCUUUUGAGAUCUGAGAACAAGAGAAAGUCGCUGGGGGCCAGAUCUGGAGAAUACGGUGGGUGGGGAAGCAAUUCGAAGCCCAAUUCAUGAAUUUUUGCCAUCGUUCUCAAUGACUUGUGGCACUGUGCGUUGUCUUGGUGGAACAACAAAAUAACAAAAGUUGCUUGACAAAAGACGCUCUGUCUCACAAAACUAAUUGACAUACAGACGUCAAAUUUUGACUCGAAUCAUUUGAAGGUUGGUACUGUAUAAAAAUAAUAUGCAUUUAAUACUAGCGGCGCCAUCUAUGUGUCAGACCGGGGACUUAUCAGCCAACCUGUCAAUUCCAGCUCCACUAGCGUGUAUUAAAGUUGUUGCGGUUAAAACUUCCGAAGUGAAUACCCAUGCCCGCCAGAUUCCCGUCCGUCGCAGGUUCCUUGUUGCUGGAUCAGAACUUGUCGCCACGACCUCAACGGUCAAAAUUUUGUUUGACCGAGCUUCAUGGUGCCCGGGGUACUUUCGUUAAGCUUAAACAUAUGAGAGUGCUUAAGCUUAAGUGCGUUAAGCUUAAACAAAAGCUUCAGUCAGUCAGUCAUUCAGUUCAGUUCAGUGUCCUUCAGUCCUCCAAGGGCAGCGUUAGCCGAGAAUAAUUUUGCAUGGAAUAAUGGAACCUGACCUCGGUCUGCGUUGUUCCGUUGGUUUGUAAUAGACCAAGAGGUAAUGAUUAACAGAAGUAGUCGGGGGCAUUGGCAUUACGGCGCGAGAGGUGAAAGCGAUUGCCAAGGAUGCUUUCAUUAAUCAAGAACGAAAGUUGGAAGAUCGAUGGUGAUCAGAUACCGCCCGAGUUUUAAAAGUAAACGAUGCCAAUUGGCAAUUGGGAAACGCUAUCUACCUUCGGUACUCUUAGUAGCUUCCGGGAAGCCAAAAUCGGGUUCCGGUGGAAGUAUGGUUGCAAAGUUGAAACUUAAAGGAAUUGACGAGAGGGCACCACAAAAAGUAGAGCUUGGACUUGCGAUGACAGCUAGAAGUGAACGGACGUGUCUCCACGCUGCUCCGUGGAGUGAGCAAAA